GGGGUCGACUGGUUUUGACUGCAAGUUGAACGGUACUGUAAGCAAGUCGAGCGAUGAAGUGUGGCUCGUAAAUAUCGUACUUCAAACCAUAAUUGGCGAGAAUAAUUACGCGCUUGCUGCUUAAUUCGUCGAGUGAUGAAUUAACUUAAUCCAUCCCGCAAGGCGGGAGGACAAGCUGUCUUCGGAAUAGCCCGGCCCGACGGCGAUUCCAACUGAAGGCACCAGAAAUGCCGGGAUAGGAGUGGUGAAGUUUCGGCGCAACUCCGAAAUUUAGAAACUAAGUCGGUAGUAGGUUGCUGAUGGUCAGCUGCCGAUCGAAAAUCAAUUGUCAGAUAAACUUGUAGAAAGCACUGCGGUUGCUUGUUAGGACGAGGGUUCGAAUCCCUCCGACUCCACAA
rnacentral:tmRNA from 1 species